ensembl:rRNA 5S_rRNA 5S ribosomal RNA
GUCUCAGGCCGGAUCAGCCUGAAGGCGCCCGAUCUCGUCUGAUCUCGGAAGCUAAGCAGGGUCGGGCCUGGUUAGUAUCUUGGAUGGGGGACCACCUGGGAAUCCCGGGUGCUCCAGGCU